UACGGGGGGGGCAAGCGUUGUUCGGAAUUACUGGGCGUAAAGGGCUCGUAGGCGGAUCGUUAAGUCGGGGGUGAAAUCCUGGAGCUCAACUCCAGAACUGCCUUCGAUACUGGCGAUCUUGAGUCCGGAAGAGGUGAGUGGAACUCCUAGUGUAGAGGUGGAAUUCGUAGAUAUUCGCAAGAACACCAGUGGCGAAGGCGGCUCACUGGCCCGGUACUGACGCUGAGGUGCGAAAGCGUGGGGAGCAAACAGG
rnacentral:rRNA from 1 species